AGUUGUGCUCCUACAGGAGAACAUACAAGCCGAGUUCAGUGCAUGAGCUCUUGUCUGAAAUGAUACAAUUGCUGUUAGAAGGAAUUAGGCAGGUCGUAUGCAGUUAGAAGGUGCAAUCUCAAAAGACUACUUCAAAGUUCGAGACUUACUCUACAACCAGUAUGCUAUUGUGUGAUUGGAGAACAUAUUGUAUACAUUGUUUCAUCAUACAGUUACAUUAUCAUCUGUCAUCACCCAUUACGGAAACGGAGAAAUUGUUUUUUUAUGAAGACAUAUAACUAUUGAACUUGUAUUUGUAUAACAUUAUCAAUUUCAAAGUCAUUUGUAUACAAUGUACGUGAAUAAAAACAGAGAAAAAUGUUUUUCAUCAUGAUAUAAAACCAUUGAUAUUGUGUUUGUCCAGCAUUAUCAAUUUCAAAGUCAUCUGUCUUCAUUCAUUAACAAGGUGGAAUACCAUAGAUAUAACAUGUUACAGUGCUAUACGUUUAUAUCUGAACAAUUAGAAAACACAAAAGUGAAAAUGUAUUCGUUCAUUUGCAUAAUUAUGGCAUGGUAACAGUGAUGUAUUGACUGUCUUGUAAAAUGUUGUUCUUAAGCUGAUAGUAAAUAAAUAUGUCAUGUGAUAGUCUUA